UACAGAGGUCUCAAGCGUUGUUCGGAUUCAUUGGGCGUAAAGGGUGCGUAGGCGGCGCGGUAAGUCGGGUGUGAAAUCUUGGAGCUUAACUCCGAAACUGCAUUCGGUACUGCCGUGCUUGAGGACUGGAGAGGAGACUGGAAUUUACGGUGUAGCGGUGAAAUGCGUAGAUAUCGUAAGGAAGACCAGUGGCGAAGGCGGGUCUCUGGACAGUUCCUGACGCUGAGGCACGAAGGUCAGGGGAGCAAACGGG
rnacentral:rRNA from 1 species